rnacentral:lncRNA from 1 species
UUGUUUCUAAAAUUGUGUCUUCAGAUGCUGGCGUUAAAACAUUUCCAUUCCUUGUAACACUAUUCAUGCCUCAAGGUUUUCCUUGCUCAACAGGGCUUGAUGGAGGAACUUACAGGCUGACCUAAACUUGGCCCUCUGCAAUUGCAUAUGUUUGUUGAAGUUUUUUGUGGAUCUGACUUUGUUGCUUAUCCACUGUAUGUAAAUUAUUAGUUCUAUUUAAUUGCAGAUGAGACUUAAGAAUGAGGAAGUUGGUCGACUUCCUCAUCUACAUCGGAAAAAUAAUGAAAAGUUCUAUGUUGUAACGAAGGCGCAAGUUUUUUAUAUGCUUCAUAGUGUUGUGAAUUUGUCUUGAGCUGGGGCUGAUUUGCAUCUUACUAACAUAAGAAAGACGUUAUGCUGACAAGUUCAAUGGUGUUGCAUAAAUCUGAUUACAUUACAUUAACCAAAUGGGUGAAAUAUGAGUUUAAACUUCCAUCAAGAAUAUGAUGAAUGCAAAUAAUAGACCCAGUAAUGCUUUGACGGGCAAUUUCAUGAUAAAUAUUUAUUAUGGUCUGGGAGACAUGCCCAACAACCUUCACCUCCUGGUUUUGUCUCAUAAAGAUUGUAAUACAAUUAAAUAAGUUGCAGAAACUUUCCAAUGGAGAAUAUCGAAAAUGGAAAAGGGUUUCAAUCAAUGAGCCCACGUUUUUCAGAAUCUUUAAUUCGGGAAACGACACGAGUGACAUGACACUUCAUAUGGUGGUGGUACCUUACGGGCAUGAGGUCCCUUCUUUGAAUACAGUGCAAAAAUCUCAACGGCAUCCCUUAUUGCCUUGCCUAUCUGUCAAAAACCAUCUCUAGCAAAUGCAUUAUUGAUUCUAAAAACAUCACCAGCAGCAAAGUCCCAUUCGAAAGAGAAACUCUGCCAUGGCUUCCCAAGCUAGUAGCCAGCUUCACUUCGUCUUGUUUCCUUUCCUUAUUCAGGGCCAUAUCAUUCCCAUGAUAGACAUUGCAAGGUUGUUGGCAAAGCAAGGCGCCUUUGUUACCAUUGUCACUACACCAAAGAACGCAGCCCGGUUUCAAAAUGUUAUCGAACGAGGGAUACAAUCCGGGCUACCUAUCCAGGUCAUUGAGUUUCGUUUUCCAUGUCAAGAAGUUGGAUUGCCUGAAGGUUGCGAGAAUUGGGACAUGCUUCCAUCGAUCACUUUGGUCCCCAAGUUCUUCUCUGCAGUCGAAAUGCUGCAACUGCCAUUGGAAAAUUUGUUCAGGGAGAUACAACCUAAGCCAAGCUGCUUAAUCUCUGACAUGUUGUUGCCUUGGACGGUUUCUUCUGCCAGUAAGUUCAACGUUCCAAGGAUUGUUUUCCACGGCUUUUCUGGCUUUUGUCUGUCGUGUUUACACAGCUUGAGUGUUUCCAAGGUUCAUGAGAGUGUUUCCUCUGACUCCGAAUACUUUUAAGUGCCUGGUUUGCCUGAUCAAGUUGAAAUAACUAAAGAUCAGCUACCAGAAAUCCUGAAGAAGAAAAGUUUUGGUGCGCCAGUUUUGGCAGCUGAAAUGGCAUCUUACGGGGUUAUUGUGAAUUCAUUUGAAGAGUUAGAGCCUGCUUAUGUUGAAGAAUACAAGAAAGCAAGAGGUGGAAAGGUUUGGUGUGUCGGUCCUGUUUCAUUUUUCAACAAGGAAGAUAUUGAUAAAGUUGAGAGAGGCAACAAGGCUUCAAUUGAUUGCUCUGGUUGCUUAAAAUGGCUUGAUUCUUGGGAACCGAGCUCUGUAGUCUAUGUUUGUCUUGGAAGUCUUUGUAAUUGUUCAACCAGACAACUGAUAGAGCUUGGUUUAGGCUUAGAAGCAACAAAGAAGCCGUUCAUCUGGGUUGUAAGAGCCGGAGAUAAAACAAAAGAGCUAGAGGAAUGGCUUUCGGAAGAAAAGUUUGAGGAAAGGAUUGAAGGGAGAGGACUUUUGAUCCGGGGUUGGGCUCCUCAAGUGGUGAUAUUGUCACACCCUACGGUUGGUGGGUUCUUAACACAUUGCGGCUGGAAUUCAGUGCUAGAAGCGGUUUCAAAUGGCUUGCCGAUGGUCACCUGGCCAUUUUUCGCAGAUCAGUUUUGCAAUGAGAAGUUGGUUGUGCAAGUGUUGAGGAUUGGUGUGAGCAUUGGGGCGGAACGCCCUCUACACUUAGCGGAUGAAGUGAAGAAGGAAGCUGUGGAAAAGGCUGUUAACAUGCUCAUGGAUGAAGGAGGAGAAGGAGAUGAGAGAAGAAGAAGGGCUAAAGAGUAUGGGGAGAUGGCAAAGAGAGCAAUUGAAGAAGGGGGAUCUUCUUCCCUUAACAUCAAACUGUUAAUCCAAGAUAUUAUGCAGCGAGCAAAAUAAGGUGGGCAAUGAAAAAUGUGAUGUCCAUACGCAAGAUAAGAGAGAUAAAAAAUCAAUUUAGUUUUUAAGCAAUAACAGCUAAUAUUUAUCGAAUAUUAAUGCUGUAGCUUCUCCAACUUUAGUACUAAAGACAACCUUAAUUCAUUUAGAUGCUGUGAUUUGUUUCUGAUUUUAAUUGUUAAUUCGGAUUCCACAAGUUCAAUUUCCUAGUGUUAUUAAAUAUGAUGGAUUAUGUUGAUCAUCUUUGAUAUAGUUCUCUUCUUUAAUUUUCAGAGCUUGAUAAUCACUUUUCAGAAUGCCAUCAUUGUUCACCCCUCUCAAAAUUUCAUUCUUUUGCCUGCUGCUCAAAUUUUUUUUCUAUAUUCCUUCGGAAAAUCCAUUUUAGCUGCACGAAAUAAUUUGAUUCUUGACUGUGAUAUGAAUGAACGAAAAAUACAAUGUAGAAUAUUACCAAUUUUAUGUAAAUAUAUUUUGGUUUUGAGUUGUAAUUUCUGGUUUCAAGACUUCGAUUAUUUCGUUCCAAGGGGUUUUUUUUUAGUAGUUUGUUGAUUUUAAGACCCCAAGAAUGAAUUGAAUUUUCAAGAGAAAUUUCAUUACAGAGCACGAGUUUGGUGCCAAAGUUUGUGAAUGAGUUAGUCGCCUUUCCAUUUGACACGUUUCUUACACGUGUUAAGUUUGUGGUGUUACAAAUGUCUUUAGACGCGUGAUGCCACCUGUGAUAGCCCCGUUCUCGACACAGCUCUAACGUAAACUUAAAUAAGAAGACGACCCAUUCAUCUCAAAAUUAAAAUAUCGCCUCUCGAAUAACCAAACGAUUGACGUCAAACGAAAAACAACAACCUGUCCAGCAAAGAAAAUAACACAAACACAAACACUGUUACUUAAACGGCACCGUCACCCAAAAAAAAUUUGAGCGCCAAAUUUGAAAAGCUUCAAAAACUUCCCCGCCAAAAGCGAUGACCAGAAGUUAGAUCACAUGCCCAAGAAUGAAUUCGACCAUUUUGAUCCAUUUUCUCACUAUUUCGAUCUCGCCAAACAAACAGCCAUAACGGGUAUUUUAUUAAAUAUUAUCUUUGAUGCAUCUAUUGAUCUCUGUGCUGAUGUGCCAUGUACGUCUGUUUUUGCGCAUGUAAGAUGUUUGAUGAAAUGCUUGAAUGAAUUCAGGAUCUCGAAAGGAAAAGAAAUGCACGGAAGAUUGGGAAGCCGACUGGUAAAGGAACUUGCAAGUGGUGAAAAAGGCCAGCUCACGCAUUUUGUACAACUAGCUUUUCUGAAUGUUUUCAAGUUCUCCACUUUUGUAUUAUUGUUACAUUGUGCUGUGGUUAUCAACUGUUUGAUGAGUAUUUUAGGUUUAUUUCUGCUAACCUUGAAAUUUGGUCUUUGUUAUGUGAUUUUGCAGGAUGAGCUUUUAAAUGAAGUAAUUAAAGAAUGCAGUGAAAAUUUCCUCGCGCUUCAGUCCUUGAUAAGGUAAUCAUUUGGUAUGAAUCCUUGGUGUUUCUUUUGAUACGACGAGUAAUUGCAUACCUUUUUUUUUUUUUUUUACUUACUUCGUAGAUUUAUGCUUGUGUUAGGAAAAUGCAGGAAGAAGGAUUGGAUUUUCAAACAACAAGAAAUGCAGAUCACUAUGGAGCACUUAUCAACCACCUUUCUCUAAUUCGCAACAAACGCUGCCUGAUGGCAUACGUGUAAGUAUUCUCUAAUGCUAUGUUAUUUCUGUAAGCAACAUUCUUAUAAUUAGCUUUUAUGUUUAAUUUGAGGUUUUUCAUUGUGGCAGUAACUCUAGUUCGUGGUUUAUGGUCAUGUAGGUACAACCGAGCAGAAAUGAUACAGAAUUUGGCAUGGACAGUUGGGCUUAGGCUCUUUGAGCUGCCCGAAGAAAUUCAAGAAAAACUCAGUCACUUGGAAAAAGAUUAUUUUAAGAGACAUUCUGCAGCAUUGGAAUCAUACAUGUCGAAAGUGGAUCUUAACUUGAAUGUGGUAACUCCUUUCUUUCUUGCUCAUAUGAAUUAAGCUCAUACGAAUUAAACUUUCUGAUUAUAAGAGUGCACAAUUGGUGAACUUGGUAUGUAAUUGAUGACUAGUGGAUGCCACAAAGCCUGAGUGCUGGUUUACUAAUGACAAAAGUACAUCUAUCAGAUGAAGAAAGUGAGGGGUUUGGCAACAACAUUUUGCUUUCAGUAUCAAUUGAUAAUGUCACUUGUUGUAAGAAAAGGUUAUGAAACGAAAUGCAUGCAAAGUAAAAAGAAGCAAAUCUGGUCAUUGAAGGAGCAGUAUGUUAUUUAGCCAUUCUGUAAGAUAAUUGUGAAUAGCAAUGUAAAUGUUCUCGAAAUUGAAAUUUGCUGAUUUUAAGGUGGAUUGAGUAUUGCAAUAUCCAAUUUCUGAAAAUAGCUUGAUCAAAAUUGUGCUUAAAACCAGAUUUUUAAAGCUAAUGUUCUUGUUUCUGCAAAGGAUAUGGUGCCACCAAAAGACCCCUAUAUCAAGGUGAGGGUCCUUGAUGAUCUCGGUGAAGGAAUAGUUGUGAGUGACAAGGCAGCCAAUUUUGCCCGCCACUCGAUGCACUUUCUCAAACGAACUGAUGCGGAGCCAUACAUCUCAAGAGUGAGUGCCUCUCUAACUUGUUUCUAAAAUUGUGUCUUCAGAUGCUGGCGUUAAAACAUUUCCAUUCCUUGUAACACUAUUCAUGCCUCAAGGUUUUCCUUGCUCAACAGGGCUUGAUGGAGGAACUUACAGGCUGACCUAAACUUGGCCCUCUGCAAUUGCAUAUGUUUGUUGAAGUUUUUUGUGGAUCUGACUUUGUUGCUUAUCCACUGUAUGUAAAUUAUUAGUUCUAUUUAAUUGCAGAUGAGACUUAAGAAUGAGGAAGUUGGUCGACUUCC